rnacentral:tRNA from 3 species
GGGGAGAUGACCGAGUGGACUAAAGUGGCGGAUUGCUAAUCCGUUGUGCGAUUAUUCGCACCGAGGGUUCGAAUCCCUCUCUCCCCU